rnacentral:rRNA from 1 species
ACGGACUCCUACGGGAGGCAGCAGUGGGGAAUAUUGGGCAAUGUUUAGGAACCCUGACCCAGCAAUUCGCCGCGUGAGGGAAGAAGGUUUUCGGAUCGUAAGUCCUCUGUCCUUGGUGUUGAGGAAGGGUAGACGGUAGCCAAAGAGGAAGCCCCGGCUAACCCUACGUGCCAGCAGCCGCGGUAAU